rnacentral:lncRNA from 1 species
AUUCUAUGAUGUCAUGGUUCCUUCUCUAUGCGUGUUCUCUUGAGAACCAAGCAGGAUCAAUAGUUUUCAGAAGAACAGAAGUACAGAAAAAAAUGUGUUGUACUGCCCUAGCUCUACCCCUCCCAGGUUAUGACUCCUUCUGUUACUUUUGACUGGGUCCUACCUUCCGUUUUUGGUCCAGUAACAGGGCUGCCAUUUGGGAAUGGAUUCUCAGGCUCUAGUUGCUCCCCAGAAAAGCCUCAGCAAGUCAUUUUACCCUUUGCCUCUCACUCUACAUGGGUCUUUUCGAGAAUAUCUUAAUGAAAUAUUUCCUCAUCUCUGCGGACAAAGAGAUUUUUAUUGUGGGGGUGUCCCAUUAUUUUCCAUCUCAGGGACUCCUCCUUCAUUGUUUCCUUUUCUCUUCUGCUUCUCUUUCAUGGCUGCGCGUUUCUUCUUCCAGUGUUGCGGGCUAGGUCAGCAGCUGCAGGAGAACUUGAUUAGUGCCUUGCCUCAGUGCAGAUGCAUUUCCCUGACAGCAUCGAUCCUGGGUGCUUUCGCUUUGCAGGCAGCUCCACAGAGGAGGAGCUUGUACUGCAAAGGAGGUGGACUGUUGUCUGUUCAAGAUAUGAGUGGGAUCACUAAAACAUGGAAGCAACAAAAGUACCUACACUUCUACCUCUACCUGACAAGAAAAUAUUGCAAGAUGAAGAAACUGAAGCAUAAAGCAUCUAGAAGACAAGCCACUGCAAGUUUCUGA